rnacentral:rRNA from 1 species
UACGGAGGGUGCAAGCGUUAUCCGGAUUCACUGGGUUUAAAGGGUGCGUAGGCGGACAGGUAAGUCAGUGGUGAAAUCUCCGAGCUUAACUCGGAAACUGCCUUUGAUACUCUCUGUCUUGAAUAUGGUGGAGGUAAGCGGAAUAUGUCAUGUAGCGGUGAAAUGCUUAGAGAUGACAUAGAACACCUAUUGCGAAGGCAGCUUACUACGCCUAUAUUGACGCUGAGGCACGAAAGCGUGGGGAGCAAACAGG